UUGAGAGCGGCGUACGGGUGCGGAACACGUGUGCAACCUGCCUUUAUCAGGGGGAUAGCCUUUCGAAAGGAAGAUUAAUACCCCAUAAUAUAUUUUGAGGCAUCUUAAGAUAUUGAAAACUCCGGUGGAUAAAGAUGGGCACGCGCAAGAUUAGAUAGUUGGUGGGGUAACGGCCUACCAAGUCAAUGAUCUUUAGGGGGCCUGAGAGGGUGAUCCCCCACACUGGUACUGAGACACGGACCAGACUCCUACGGGAGGCAGCAGUGAGGAAUAUUGGACAAUGGGUGCGAGCCUGAUCCAGCCAUCCCGCGUGAAGGACGACGGCCCUAUGGGUUGUAAACUUCUUUUGUACAGGGAUAAACCUUUCCACGAGUGGAAAGCUGAAGGUACUGUACGAAUAAGCACCGGCUAACUCCGUGCCAGCAGCCGCGGUAAUACGGAGGGUGCAAGCGUUAUCCGGAUUUAUUGGGUUUAAAGGGUCCGUAGGCGGAUCAGUAAGUCAGUGGUGAAAUCUCAUAGCUCAACUAUGAAACUGCCAUUGAUACUGCUGGUCUUGAGUAAGGUAGAAGUAGCUGGAAUAAGUAGUGUAGCGGUGAAAUGCAUAGAUAUUACUUAGAACACCAAUUGCGAAGGCAGGUUACUAUGUCUUAACUGACGCUGAUGGACGAAAGCGUGGGGAGCGAACAGGAUUAGAUACCCUGGUAGUCCACGCCGUAAACGAUGCUAACUCGUUUUUGGGUUUUCGGAUUCAGAGACUAAGCGAAAGUGAUAAGUUAGCCACCUGGGGAGUACGAACGCAAGUUUGAAACUCAAAGGAAUUGACGGGGGCCCGCACAAGCGGUGGAUUAUGUGGUUUAAUUCGAUGAUACGCGAGGAACCUUACCAAGGCUUAAAUGGGAAUUGAUCGGUUUAGAAAUAGACCUUCCUUCGGGCAAUUUUCAAGGUGCUGCAUGGUUGUCGUCAGCUCGUGCCGUGAGGUGUUAGGUUAAGUCCUGCAACGAGCGCAACCCCUGUCACUAGUUGCCAUCAUUAAGUUGGGGACUCUAGUGAGACUGCCUACGCAAGUAGAGAGGAAGGUGGGGAUGACGUCAAAUCAUCACGGCCCUUACGCCUUGGGCCACACACGUAAUACAAUGGCCGGUACAGAGGGCAGCUACACAGCGAUGUGAUGCAAAUCUCGAAAGCCGGUCUCAGUUCGGAUUGGAGUCUGCAACUCGACUCUAUGAAGCUGGAAUCGCUAGUAAUCGCGCAUCAGCCA
rnacentral:rRNA from 1 species